AGACAGGGUCUCUCUUCUGUCACCCAGGUUGGAGUGCAGUGGCGCGAUCAUGGCUCACUGCAUUUUUGACUUCCAUUGCUCCUCCUACCUCGGCUUCCCAAGUAGCUGGGACUACACGCAUGUGCCACCAUGCCUAGUGAAUCUUUUGUAUUUUUAGUAGAGACAGGGUUUUGCCAUGUUGUCCAGUCUGGCCUCAAAGUCCUGGGCUCAAGCGGUCUGUUCUCCUCAGCCUCCCCAAGGGCUGGGAUUACAGGUAUGAACCACUGUGCCUGGCCCAGACUAUGCUUUUAAAUAAAAUUUAUCAACCGAUAUUUGUAUCACACGUUCCUGUUUCCUAACUUCUGGCAUGUAAACCGUCUCACUUAUUAUCACGGAAGCUUUGGAAGGCAGGUAGGGCAGAUUAUAUUAUUAUUCUCAUAUCAUAGGUGAUGAAAUAGAGAUCUAGAGAGAUGAGGUG
rnacentral:lncRNA from 10 species